UUCACCUUAUGUAUACAUUGAAGAUAAAAAUGUAUUCAAUUAUUGUUGAACAACCAUUUUGCAGAUUAGCAUAUAUGCCACCAGGAGGCGCGGAUUUCUAGUGAACACUCUUUACAAGGGAGAGCUGACGCAACCUAAGCUGAUUUAUUUAACUGGAAAAAAAAAGAAGUUAUGGAGGCAAUACGGUUCAGAGAAAACUCAACACUCGGCCUGGACGCUCGUACUCCACAUCGAGCAGCCUCUGCAGUGACAUUGAUGUCUGUAACUGUGCCAGGACAGGAGAGCUUCUUGAGCGCGCCCAGCAGCCAAACAAACAAACUGCAGCUUAACUAACCUUGAACUGCUGACAACAUGAAGCGUCAUUAGCAUAAUAAACAAACCCUCUGGAAACACAGCGGCGGGGUGCGUCCUGCCCGCUCUGGCUUCACAA